AGAGUUUGAUCAUGGCUCAGAUUGAACGCUGGCGGAAUGCUUUACACAUGCAAGUCGAGCGGCAGCGCGGGGCAACCUGGCGGCGAGCGGCGAACGGGUGAGUAAUACAUCGGAACGUGCCCAGACGUGGGGGACGACCACUCGAAAGAGUGGCUAAUACCGCAUACGAUCUACGGAUGAAAGCGGGGGAUCGCAAGACCUCGCGCGUCUGGAGCGGCUGAUGGCAGAUUAGGUAGUUGGUGGGGUAAAGGCUCACCAAGCCUGCGAUCUGUAGCUGGUCUGAGAGGAUGAUCAGCCACACUGGGACUGAGACACGGCCCAGACUCCUACGGGAGGCAGCAGUGGGGAAUUUUGGACAAUGGGCGAAAGCCUGAUCCAGCCAUUCCGCGUGCAGGAUGAAGGCCCUCGGGUUGUAAACUGCUUUUGUACGGGACGAAAAAGCUCCGGCUAAUACCUGGAGUCCAUGACGGUACCGUAAGAAUAAGCACCGGCUAACUACGUGCCAGCAGCCGCGGUAAUACGUAGGGUGCGAGCGUUAAUCGGAAUUACUGGGCGUAAAGCGUGCGCAGGCGGUUUUGUAAGACAGAGGUGAAAUCCCCGGGCUCAACCUGGGAACUGCCUUUGUGACUGCAAGGCUGGAGUGCGGCAGAGGGGGAUGGAAUUCCACGUGUAGCAGUGAAAUGCGUAGAUAUGUGGAGGAACACCAAUGGCGAAGGCAGCCCCCUGGGAUAACACUGACGCUCAUGUACGAAAGCGUGGGUAGCAAACAGGAUUAGAUACCCUGGUAGUCCACGCCCUAAACGAUGUCAACUGGUUGUUGGGGGAGUGAAAUCCCUUAGUAACGAAGCUAACGCGUGAAGUUGACCGCCUGGGGAGUACGGUCGCAAGAUUAAAACUCAAAGGAAUUGACGGGGACCCGCACAAGCGGUGGAUGAUGUGGAUUAAUUCGAUGCAACGCGAAAAACCUUACCUACCCUUGACAUGUCCGGAAUCCUGCAGAGAUGCGGGAGUGCCCGAAAGGGAAUCGGAACACAGGUGCUGCAUGGCUGUCGUCAGCUCGUGUCGUGAGAUGUUGGGUUAAGUCCCGCAACGAGCGCAACCCUUAUCAUUAGUUGCUACGCAAGGGCACUCUAAUGAGACUGCCGGUGACAAACCGGAGGAAGGUGGGGAUGACGUCAAGUCCUCAUGGCCCUUAUGGGUAGGGCUUCACACGUCAUACAAUGGUCGGUACAGAGGGUUGCCAAGCCGCGAGGUGGAGCCAAUCCCAGAAAGCCGAUCGUAGUCCGGAUUGUUCUCUGCAACUCGAGAGCAUGAAGUCGGAAUCGCUAGUAAUCGCGGAUCAGCAUGUCGCGGUGAAUACGUUCCCGGGUCUUGUACACACCGCCCGUCACACCAUGGGAGUGGAAUCUGCCAGAAGUAGGUAGCCUAACCGUAAGGAGGGCGCUUACCACGGUGGGAUUCAUGACUGGGGUGAAGUCGUAACAAGGU
rnacentral:rRNA from 1 species